rnacentral:rRNA from 1 species
GAUGAGCGCUGGCGGCGUGCCUAAUACAUGCAAGUCGAGCGAACGGACGAGAAGCUUGCUUCUCUGAUGUUAGCGGCGGACGGGUGAGUAACACGUGGAUAACCUACCUAUAAGACUGGGAUAACUUCGGGAAACCGGAGCUAAUACCGGAUAAUAUUUUGAACCGCAUGGUUCAAAAGUGAAAGACGGUCUUGCUGUCACUUAUAGAUGGAUCCGCGCUGCAUUAGCUAGUUGGUAAGGUGACGGCUUACCAAGGCAACGAUGCAUAGCCGACCUGAGAGGGUGAUCGGCCACACUGGAACUGAGACACGGUCCAGACUCCUACGGGAGGCAGCAGUAGGGAAUCUUCCGCAAUGGGCGAAAGCCUGACGGAGCAACGCCGCGUGAGUGAUGAAGGUCUUCGGAUCGUAAAACUCUGUUAUUAGGGAAGAACAUAUGUGUAAGUAACUGUGCACAUCUUGACGGUACCUAAUCAGAAAGCCACGGCUAACUACGUG